rnacentral:rRNA from 1 species
UACGUAGGGGGCAAGCGUUGUCCGGAUUUAUUGGGCGUAAAGAGCGUGUAGGCGGCCUGAAAGGUCAGCUGUGAAAACUCGAGGCUCAACCUCGAGACGUCGGUUGAAACCAUCUGGCUAGAGUCCGGAAGAGGAGUGUGGAAUUCCCGGUGUAGCGGUGAAAUGCGCAGAUAUCAGGAGGAACACCGGUGGCGAAGGCGGUUCUCUGGGCCUGUACUGACGCUGAGGAGCGAAAGCGUGGGGAGCGAACAGG